rnacentral:lncRNA from 1 species
GGUUUUAAACUUUAUUUUUCCAUGUACAGUUUCAGAUUAUACAAAACAUAGAAAAUGGACUACUUUAAAGGCACAUUAAGUAGAAAGUAUCUAACUACUCUUAAAAUCACAUUUGUCCCCAAAUCAAGAUUCAAACUCAACACCUUUCCCUAGCAUCUCCCCAUCACCACUGCACCCCACCCCCAAUAUACAAAACUGUCCAACUUGCUGUAUUGUAAGUAAUCUUUCAACUAUUAGCGAGUUUAGUAAUUCCCAUCCAGGCAGAUUUUAAAUGAGGCUGCAGCAUCUAUUCAAGCUACCGCGUUUAGUGUGCUUACAUACAGGCUUGAGGGGUUAGGUUUCUUCAUCACCAGUGAAUACAGAGCACCCUAGGGCUUCAUCCUCUCGAUUAGGGAUGCGCAGAGACACACAACCCAUUGCAGAGAAUGUGGGGCAGGGAGGGGGGAAAAUGUCUCCAAUUUUCCUGUAUUCACAUAUGAAUAUAUACAUUCACGCAGAGCAACAAAUCAAGCAUUCUCCAAACUUAUUUGAACAAAGACCCAAAGUAAUUUUAAUACGAGUAAUAAAAAUGAGUUAGUCUGUCUUCAUUCAUAGCCCCUCAAUGAAAGA